AAACGUUUCGAAAAGGAAACGCUAAAUACCGCAUACGUCCCUACGGGAGAAAGCAGGGGACCUUCGGGCCUUGCGCUAUCAGAUGAGCCUAGGUCGGAUUAGCUAGUUGGUGGGGUAAUGGCUCACCAAGGCGACGAUCCGUAACUGGUCUGAGAGGAUGAUCAGUCACACUGGAACUGAGACACGGUCCAGACUCCUACGGGAGGCAGCAGUGGGGAAUAUUGGACAAUGGGCGAAAGCCUGAUCCAGCCAUGCCGCGUGUGUGAAGAAGGUCUUCGGAUUGUAAAGCACUUUAAGUUGGGAGGAAGGGCAGUAAGUUAAUACCUUGCUGUUUUGACGUUACCGACAGAAUAAGCACCGGCUAACUCUGUGC
rnacentral:rRNA from 1 species